GUCGGGAUGGCCGAGUGGUUAUGGCGUGUGACUCAAGCGUAAGCUUCCUGCACUUAUUGCAGGCGCAUUCUCAUGGGCGUAGCCCGCGUGGGUUCGAAUCCCACUUCCGACA